AGUGAACGCUGGCGGUAGGCCUAACACAUGCAAGUCGAACGGCAGCACAGUAAGAGCUUGCUCUUACGGGUGGCGAGUGGCGGACGGGUGAGGAAUACAUCGGAAUCUACUUUUUCGUGGGGGAUAACGUAGGGAAACUUACGCUAAUACCGCAUACGACCUACGGGUGAAAGCAGGGGAUCUUCGGACUUUGCGCGAUUGAAUGAGCCGAUGUCGGAUUAGCUAGUUGGCGGGGUAAAGGCCCACCAAGGCGACGAUCCGUAGCUGGUCUGAGAGGAUGAUCAGCCACACUGGAACUGAGAGACGGUCCAGACUCCUACGGGAGGCAGCAGUGGGGAAUAUUGGACAAUGGGCGAAAGCCUGAUCCAGCCAUACCGCGUGGGUGAAGAAGGCCUUCGGGUUGUAAAGCCCUUUUGUUGGGAAAGAAAAGCAGCAGGUUAAUACCCCGCUGUUCUGACGGUACCCAAAGAAUAAGCACCGGCUAACUUCGUG
rnacentral:rRNA from 1 species